GACCAAUCACUAACAGCCAAGCAGCUGAUUACGAAGCCCGUGUUUCGACAGCAGUACCUCAGCUGUAUUCAAUGCUUGCCUGAUCCCUUCAAAAUGAAUGUACUUUAGGACGUUUUGGAUGAGGGUCUGAGCUUGAGCAAGCUGAAGGACAAGGCUUCAGCAUACUGCUCCAUCAAGGAAGUGAAGAAAGCAUUUUGCCGGUAAUAUAAUUAUUAUGUCAAUGAAUUAUUAUCAGACCAGCUAAUAUAAGUUAAGUUUGCUUAAUUCUCUGUAUGAUUAUAUAGGAUCACCAGUACAACGCGGAGUGAGGCUACACGCCGAUUUCCUGAACAUAUACGUUAUCAGAUUGAACACCUGGACUCCUUUUCCAAACUUGUAAAGGGGAAAAAUACUUUUGGCCUUCACAGCCUGCUGCGAAGGUGCUCUCCAAGCAGAGCAAAACAAAGACGAAAAGUGUCUCGAUGUCUUCACAAAGCACGUCUCUUUGAAGGAGAUUACUGGAAUGUGUAGGACAUCUGUUUGAAGUACAAGACGUAUAUUACGGGUCUACUCUUUUCAUUGCCCACAUUCCAAUGGAAUGGUCUAUAAAGAACCUUGUGUUCACGUGCAAACAAGUCAACACCAUCCCAGAGAAGACCAUGCCAAUGUACAAUAUUGUGCUUAUUGGCAAUCUUGAGCAACAACCAUUGCUUACUGUCAUGCUGAGUGAGCUCUAUGACCGUGUCAGUGCAUGUGUGCUAUUGGCAUACCCAACACCCCAUCACCAAGAGAUUUUCCAAAGCACUGGGGUCUGUUGUGGUCGGCCAUUACUCAAUUAAUGGGAGUUUGUUGAACAAGCACUUCAACCGGCAAGGAGGACAAACAAACCUCUUCAAUGCCGACAAGAACGACUAAUCUACAAAUGAGCCAAGUCAAGUCCCUCUUAGACUGGUAACUGUGCAGUUCCUGCUCUGACAACAAAGAGAGACGUCGUGGUCAUCAAGAAAGACCUAAUGCAGGUUAGGGUUGACCUAAUGGAAAAACUCACAUGCUCUAAACAUCUAGACUAAAGAGUACUGAAAACGUUGCCUAACAUAAUUAUAAGUGUAUUAUUUAACUCCUAACUUUAGUAUCAUUGUUGUCAGCAAAUACUCUUUCAUCAAACUGAGCAAUAUCUUCUUGAUUACAUAAUGGUGAAACAGUGAUAAG